ensembl:lincRNA Gm9873 predicted gene 9873
AGUGCUCUUAACCGCUGAGUCCUCUCUCCAGCCCAUCCUUUUCUUUUUUUAUAAAACACAACCAAUGUGUUUGCAUCUCUGGAUUGUGAUAGUUCUGAUGGGCUACAUAACGAUACCAACCGAGAAAUAAGGAACAAGAUAGAAAUCCAAGAUGGCGGAGCUCAGGUGAAAUUAGUGGUUGUUCUGGGCUCUGGACAGGACAGAGGGUGACAGCAAUUUCUUGUUGUUGAAGGUAACAUGUCCCAAAGUCCCCCAGUGGGUGCCUGAAGGCAUUGACAGUGCUGAUUUUGUAUACACCAUGUCUUACCUGUAUAUACUAUUUGUUUGUAUUGCCUGUAUAUACUGCUACGGUUUUAGGAUAUGAACUGCUUCCCCCACCCCAAGUCUCUAAUGUUGAAGCUUUGGUCAUCAAUUUAAUGAUCACAGGUGGGGUUGCCCUAAUCAGUGUAUUAAUCCAUUGACAGUAGAAAAUCUUAACAGAUUAUCAUUGUAUGUAUGGACAUUUGUUCAAGUGAAUGCUGUGGUACUCACGUGUAGGUCAAGACAGAUUUCAGCAGUCAGUUUUCUCCUCCCACCUCCAGCUGGGUUCUUGAGGGUUGAAUUAGAGUUCCAGGCUUGCUUUACCCACUGAGUUGCCUCUCUGGUCUUGGAUUUUAUUUUAUUUUUGAGACAAGAUCUUAUGUAUCCCAGUCUGGCCUGGAACAACUCAUCUUCCUGUCUCUACCUCCUGAGUGUUAGGAUCACAGGGUGUACCACCAUUCCUAGUUUGUGUGCUGAGAUUCAGGGCUUCAGGAGUGGUAGGUAAACACUCUACCAAUAAGCCACUUGCCCCGAGUUAUUGGUUGAUGGAUUCUUAAUCUGAGGCAGCAGUAACAGGAAGUGGCAACUAGGGGGUGGGGCAUACUUGGGAAUGGCAACAAGUGGGUGGGGCUGAGUUGGGAAGUGGUAAUGUGCCUGCCUUUGAAGGCCAUAUUUAUGACUGGCCUUGUCUCUGGCCUCCACCAAGUGAGCAGCUGCCUCUGUUCAACCCUCUCACUGACCCACAUUUCAUCUCAGCAAAGGUUCACAGCCUCCCCUCGGUCCUACAGUCAUGACAUUCUGUGGCACCACAGGCCCUUUGCAGUGCAGCUGGCCAAGGAUGGAUUGAAAUCUACGAAGCGGUGGGACAAAGCAGCUUCUUUCCCUAAGCUGUAUUUCUCCAUGUUUUGCCAUAAAAAUGAAAAAAGAAGAAAGCAGAAAAACAACAACAACAAUACCCAAACCCAAAAUUGUAUGAAUGUGGUCUGUUUCUCUCAAAAUAACUUCUACACUUGCCUUCUCAUAAAUAAAGCACACGACACGUUCUCUGUGUUAUUUCUCCA